AUACGUAGGUGACAAGCGUUAUCCGGAUUUACUGGGUGUAAAGGGCGUGUAGGCGGUUUAGCAAGUCAGAAGUGAAAUUCCCGGGCUUAACUUGGGCGCUGCUUCUGAAACUGCUUUACUUGAGUGCUGGAGAGGAUAGUGGAAUUCCUAGUGUAGCGGUAAAAUGCGCAGAGAUUAGGAGGAACACCGGUGGCGAAGGCGGCUAUCUGGACAGUAACUGACGCUGAGGCGCGAAAGCACGGGGAGCAAACAGGAUUAGAUACCCUGGUAGUCCGUGCCGUAAACGAUGAAUACUAGGUGUAGGGGGUAUCGACUCCCUCUGUGCCGCAGUUAACACAUUAAGUAUUCCACCUGGGGAGUACGGCCGCAAGGUUGAAACUCAAAUGAAUUGACGGGG
rnacentral:rRNA from 1 species